rnacentral:rRNA from 1 species
GCCACGCCCGCUCAGAAACUUAAAGGAAUUGACGGGACCCGCACAAGCGGUGGAUGAUGUGGUUUAAUUCGAUGCAACGCGAAAACCUUACCCACCUUUGACAUGUACGGAAUCCUUUAGAGAUAGAGGAGUGCUCGAAAGAGAACCGUAACACAGGUGCUGCAUGGCUGUCGUCAGCUCGUGUCGUGAGAUGUUGGGUUAAGUCCCGCAACGAGCGCAACCCUUGUCAUUAGUUGCUACAUUUAGUUGGGCACUUUAAUGAGACUGCCGGUGACAAACCGGAGGAAGGUGGGGAUGACGUCAAGUCCUCAUGGCCCUUAUAGGUGGGGCUACACACGUCAUACAAUGGAUGGUACAAAGGGUCGCCAACCCGCGAGGGGGAGCCAAUCCCAUAAAGCCAUUCGUAGUCCGGAUCGUAGUCUGCAACUCGACUACGUGAAGUCGGAAUCGCUAGUAAUCGUGGAUCAGAAUGUCACGGUGAAUACGUUCCCGGGUCUU